AUUGAACGCUGGCGGCAGGCCUAACACAUGCAAGUCGAACGAGUGGCGGACGGGUGAGUAAUGUCUGGGAAACUGCCCGAUGGAGGGGGAUAACUACUGGAAACGGUAGCUAAUACCGCAUACCAUCGGAUGUGCCCAGAUGGGAUUAGCUAGUAGGUGGGGUAACGGCUCACCUAGGCGACGAUCCCUAGCUGGUCUGAGAGGAUGACGAGGGAAACUGGAACUGAGACAAGGUCCAGACUCGUACGAGAGGCAGCAGUGGGGAAGAUUGCACAAUGGGUGAAAGCCUGAUGAAGCUCAGGCGCGUGUAGGAAGAAGGCAUUCAGGUUUUAAAGUACUUUCAGCGAGGAGGCGUUACACGUAGAAGAAGCACCGGCUAACUCCGUGCCAGCAGCCGCGGUAAUAC
rnacentral:rRNA from 1 species